GGCUGGUUGAGGUUCCUCAUCGUGUCUGUGGGUUUAACUGCACUCAUAAUAAUCGUUGUGUCAGUCAGCAUCUGGACGAGAACUAAAGGGAACAAAACACAGAUCAGUGACAAUGCUGUGCAUGAUGAUGAAGAUGGAGAUGAAGCUACG